rnacentral:misc_RNA from 1 species
GAAAUGCGAUAAGUAAUGUGAAUUGCAGAAUUCAGUGAAUCAUCGAAUCUUUGAACGCAUCUUGCGCUCCUUGGUAUUCCUUGGAGCAUGCCUGUUUGAGUAUCAUGAAAUCUUCAAAGUAAAUCUUUUGUUAACUCAAUUGGUUUCUACUUUGGUAUUGGAGGUCUUUGCAGCUUCACACCUGCUCCUCUUUGUUCAUUAGCUGGAUCUCAGUGUUAUGCUUGGUUCCACUCGGCGUGAUAAGUUAUCUAUCGCUGAGGACACUGUAAAAGGUGGCAAAGGUAAAUGCAGAUGAACCGCUUCUGAUAGUCCAUUGACUUGGACAAUACUUUUAUGAUCUGAUCUCAAAUCAGGUAGGACUACCCGCUGAACUUAAGC